GAUGAACGCUGGCGGCGUGCCUAAUACAUGCAAGUCGAGCGAACGGACGAGAAGCUUGCUUCUCUGAUGUUAGCGGCGGACGGGUGAGUAACACGUGGAUAACCUACCUAUAAGACUGGGAUAACUUCGGGAAACCGGAGCUAAUACCGGAUAAUAUUUUGAACCGCAUGGUUCAAAAGUGAAAGACGGUCUUGCUGUCACUUAUAGAUGGAUCCGCGCUGCAUUAGCUAGUUGGUAAGGUAACGGCUUACCAAGGCAACGAUGCAUAGCCGACCUGAGAGGGUGAUCGGCCACACUGGAACUGAGACACGGUCCAGACUCCUACGGGAGGCAGCAGUAGGGAAUCUUCCGCAAUGGGCGAAAGCCUGACGGAGCAACGCCGCGUGAGUGAUGAAGGUCUUCGGAUCGUAAAACUCUGUUAUUAGGGAAGAACAUAUGUGUAAGUAACUGUGCACAUCUUGACGGUACCUAAUCAGAAAGCCACGGCUAACUACGUGCCAGCAGCCGCGGUAAUACGUAGGUGGCAAGCGUUAUCCGGAAUUAUUGGGCGUAAAGCGCGCGUAGGCGGUUUUUUAAGUCUGAUGUGAAAGCCCACGGCUCAACCGUGGAGGGUCAUUGGAAACUGGAAAACUUGAGUGCAGAAGAGGAAAGUGGAAUUCCAUGUGUAGCGGUGAAAUGCGCAGAGAUAUGGAGGAACACCAGUGGCGAAGGCGACUUUCUGGUCUGUAACUGACGCUGAUGUGCGAAAGCGUGGGGAUCAAACAGGAUUAGAUACCCUGGUAGUCCACGCCGUAAACGAUGAGUGCUAAGUGUUAGGGGGUUUCCGCCCCUUAGUGCUGCAGCUAACGCAUUAAGCACUCCGCCUGGGGAGUACGACCGCAAGGUUGAAACUCAAAGGAAUUGACGGGGACCCGCACAAGCGGUGGAGCAUGUGGUUUAAUUCGAAGCAACGCGAAGAACCUUACCAAAUCUUGACAUCCUUUGACAACUCUAGAGAUAGAGCUUUCCCCUUCGGGGGACAAAGUGACAGGUGGUGCAUGGUUGUCGUCAGCUCGUGUCGUGAGAUGUUGGGUUAAGUCCCGCAACGAGCGCAACCCUUAAGCUUAGUUGCCAUCAUUAAGUUGGGCACUCUAAGUUGACUGCCGGUGACAAACCGGAGGAAGGUGGGGAUGACGUCAAAUCAUCAUGCCCCUUAUGAUUUGGGCUACACACGUGCUACGAUGGACAAUACAAAGGGCAGCGAAACCGCGAGGUCAAGCAAAUCCCAUAAAGUUGUUCUCAGUUCGGAUUGUAGUCUGCAACUCGACUACAUGAAGCUGGAAUCGCUAGUAAUCGUAGAUCAGCAUGCUACGGUGAAUACGUUCCCGGGUCU
rnacentral:rRNA from 1 species